GACGAACGCUGGCGGCGUGCUUAACACAUGCAAGUCGAACGGUGAAGGGACCAGCUUGCUGGUUCUGGAUGAGUGGCGAACGGGUGAGUAACACGUGAGUAACCUGCCCCCUUCUUCUGGAUAACCGCAUGAAAGUGUGGCUAAUACGGGAUAUUCUGGGUCUGUCGCAUGGCGGGCCCGGGAAAGAUAUUGCUUCGGUGGGGGAUGGGCUCGCGGCCUAUCAGCUUGUUGGUGGGGUGAUGGCCUACCAAGGCGGUGACGGGUAGCCGGCCUGAGAGGGUGGACGGUCACACUGGGACUGAGACACGGCCCAGACUCCUACGGGAGGCAGCAGUGGGGAAGAUUGCACAAUGGGCGCAAGCCUGAUGCAGCGACGCCGCGUGAGGGAUGGAGGCCUUCGGGGUGUAAACCUCUUUCGCCAGUGAAGCAGGCCUGCUCCGUGUGGGUGGGUUGACGGUAGCUGGAGAAGAAGCGCCGGCUAACUACGUG
rnacentral:rRNA from 1 species